CAGAGAACAAUGUGUGCUGUUGGACAGACGGGGGCGGCUGAGGGACAUAAAACUGAAUGUUCAGCUAAAUUGAGCUACAGGAAAAUUUGUGUCAGUUGUAAGCAUCUGAACAUCGUUAGAAGAUACAGAGCCUUAAUCAGAAAUUGAGGAUCUACAGGUCUCUCCUCAGGAAUGAAAGACUAAAAGCAAGUUGGAAAAUUGUAGCCCAUUCAAAUAGUGAAGCUGUGAGAUCACCAUGAGUGUGCAGUAUAUUUAUACAGCCAGAAUGCUAUAUGAAUGUGCACAGAGACAGCAUUGUGUGAGCUUGUACAGAGAUGGACAGAGCAGAAAGUUUGUAUAGAGGGAGUACACUUGAUUGUGAUGGAAAAAAUCAAUCAAAUUGAGCACUUUUCCAGACUGCAAGAAAUUAAAUUCAAACAUCACGAUAUAUAGGUUGAAAAUGAAAUUGGUCAGGAAAAUGGGGGUGGGGGUGGGGAUGGGGGGAGGGUGUUUGAAUCAGCCUUUAGCCAACUAUCACUUUGAACAACAUCCAGAAAUGAGGUAUUCUGAGGCUACCAUUAACUGUAUAGUGGAACAAGCGUCUGGGCCAUGUUCAGCAGAAAGAAAACAUUGCAUUCAGAUAUCCAGAAUGUUUGAUUCCUUUCAUACACACUGCCCUAAGUAUAUUGAGGAUUACACAUGCAUAUAUUCAGCAUCUGAGUAACAUGCCAUUUUAUAGAUUUCACCAGAAGCGCAUUAAACCCAGAAAAAAAAUCUUGAGCCCAAUUUCAUAAAAUGUAAACAUCCAUAAUACACUAAUAAUAAGAGGGCCCCAGACCCCCCCCCACUUCCCAGUAUAACUCUGCUCCCUUAAGGUGGCCAUACAUGGUAAGAUUUGCUCGAUUGGGGAGGCUGCCAAACGAGCAAAUCUUUCCCUUAAUAUCACAAUAUCAUGCUAAAUGUGAUGAAGGGGAUAAGAAAAGUCAGAGCAAGGACCGCAUCAAUUAUCCAUUGCUUUCCUGAUCCGACGAAAAAUCAAGCCUGUCCAAUCGACAUCUAGACAAGUUUUGGCCAGAUCUCGGUCGGGGAGGCCUGUCAGAGGGCCCCAUACACAGGCAGAUAAGCUGCAGAGUCGAUCUUAAGGACCUAAAUCUGCAGUUGAAAUCUGCCUGUGUAUGGCCACUCCUGAUGUGCACAUCUGAGGUGUCAUUACAAAGGCAGCAGUCAAAUGUUAUAGAGCACUAAGGGGUGAAAAAUUGCACUGUUGCACUGGAGGGCACAACACAGCUUAGCACCCUGCUCCCACUGUUGCUCCAAUACUGACAAUGCUGUUCUUCAUGAAGAGAGAGACAGCCUUUUCUGUAAAUCUUGCAAAUGGUGCCAUUGCCAAUUACAAUUUUAAUCAACAGCAUUAAUUAGCAAUUAGCAAUGUAUUAAUAUGUACAAUUAAGGCCAAUUAAAAUCAAAUUGAUUAUUAUCAAUUAACUCACUAAUAAUAAAUAUAUAAGUUUCACACUUCCCCAAUGGACACAUUAAUGUUCACUGAUCCUCUUUAAAAACAAAAAAACAUACAUUCACAAGAAAAUCCACAAAAAAUCACAGCCUCAUUAUUCAUGACCGAUGACAUUAUCACCCAGUAUGGGCAAUAAUACAUCCCGCAUUUUCUUCCCACUGGCUAAAAUGCAAAUCACUGGUGGGGAAACAUAUGGGACACGGCUACUUUCAGAAGUAGCCAGAAGUUACUAGUCCAUGAUU